rnacentral:rRNA from 1 species
AACGAACGCUGGCGGCAUGCCUAACACAUGCAAGUCGAACGAGACCUUCGGGUCUAGUGGCGCACGGGUGCGUAACGCGUGGGAACCUGCCCUUAGGUUCGGAAUAACUCCCCGAAAGGGGUGCUAAUACCGGAUAAUGUCUUCGGACCAAAGAUUUAUCGCCUUUGGAUGUGCCCGCGUUGGAUUAGCUAGUUGGUAGGGUAAAAGCCUACCAAGGCGACGAUCCAUAGCUGGUCUGAGAGGAUGAUCAGCCACACUGGGACUGAGACACGGCCCAGACUCCUACGGGAGGCAGCAGUGGGGACUAUUGGACAAUGCGCGAAAGACUGAGCCAGCCAUGCCGCGUGAGUGAUGAAGGCCUUAGGGUUGUAAAGCUCUUUUACCCGGCAUGAUAAUGACAGUACCGGGCGAAUAAGCUCCGGCUAAUUCCGU